UACGUAGGGGGCGAGCGUUGUCCGGAGUUACUGGGCGUAUAGCGCUUGUAGGCGGUCCACCAAGUUUGGGGUGACAGUUGCCGACUUAAUCGGCAAAGUGCCUCAAAGACUGGCGGACUUGAGGGCCACAGAGGGACAUGGAACUCCAGGUGUAGUGGUGAAAUGCGUAGAUAUCUGGAAGAACACCAAAGGCGAAGGCAGUGUCCUGGGUGGUCGCUGACGCUGAGAGGCGAAAGCCAGGGGAGCGAACGGG
rnacentral:rRNA from 1 species